AGAACGAACGCUGGCGGCGUGGAUAAGACAUGCAAGUCGAGCGCUGAUUCAAGGGUAGCAAUAUUCUUGAGUCGGAGCGGCGCAAGGGUGCGUAACACGUGGGUAAUUUGCCAUGAAGUCUGGAAUAACUCGCUGAAAGGCGAGCUAAUGCCGGAUGUGAGUUUUCGGGGAGCAUUUCCUGAAACUCAAAGUUGGGACCGUAGGCCUGACGCUUCUGAUAAGCCCGCGGCCUAUCAGCUAGUUGGUGAGGUAACGCUCAACCAAGGCUAAGGACGGUAGCUGGUCUGGAGAGGACGACCAGCCACACGUGAACUGAGACCACGGUCAGACCACC
rnacentral:rRNA from 1 species